rnacentral:rRNA from 1 species
AUUGAACGCUGGCGGCAUGCCUUACACAUGCAAGUCGAACGGUAACAGGUCUUCGGAUGCUGACGAGUGGCGAACGGGUGAGUAAUACAUCGGAACGUGCCUAGUAGUGGGGGAUAACUACUCGAAAGAGUGGCUAAUACCGCAUGAGAUCUACGGAUGAAAGCAGGGGAUCGCAAGACCUUGUGCUACUAGAGCGGCCGAUGGCAGAUUAGGUAGUUGGUGGGAUAAAAGCUUACCAAGCCGACGAUCUGUAGCUGGUCUGAGAGGACGAUCAGCCACACUGGGACUGUGACACGGCCCAGACUCCGACGGGAGGCAGCAGUGGGGAAUUUUGGACAAUGGGCGCAAGCCUGAUCCAGCAAUGCCGCGUGCAGGAUGAAGGCCUUCGGGUUGUAAACUGCUUUUGUACGGAACGAAAAGCCCUGGGUUAAUACCCUGGGGUCAUGACGGUAUCCAACCAGAAAGCCACGGCUAACUACGUGCCAGCCGCCGCCGUAAAAC